GACCCGCACAAGCGGUGGAGCAUGUGGUUUAAUUCGAUGCAACGCGAAAAACCUUACCUACUCUUGACAUACUUGGAAGCUCUUGUAAUGAGAGUGUGCCUUUUGGAGCCAAGAUACAGGUGCUGCAUGGCUGUCGUCAGCUCGUGUCGUGAGAUGUUCCGUUAAGUCGGAUAACGAGCGCAACCCUUACCCUUAUUUGCCAGCGAUUCGGUCGGGAACUAUAAGGGGACUGCCGGUGAUAAACCGGAGGAAGGUGAGGACGACGUCAAGUCAUCAUGGCCCUUACGAGUAGGGCUACACACGUGCUACAAUGGGGAAUACAGACGGACGCUAAGCCGCGAGGUGGUGCUAAUCCUAGAAAGUUCUUCGUAGUCCGGA
rnacentral:rRNA from 1 species